CCAGCCCUAGAGCUCUGUAUACGGAUUGUUUUCUCUCUCCAUGGUAACCCCAAGGGAGAACGCCAGCCCUCCCUCAGCUGCCUCUUUGUGACACAUGAACACUGGUGUCAGCGCAAAGGAAUAGGCUCAGCAAAUUCUUCACCAUCUCCUGGAUCAAGAUUAGAUCACAGGAACCUCAUAUAAGCAAGUUCUCACAGGAUAUGUCUGGUCUUGCCAUCCUGCCUCAGCAUCCCGAGCUACUAGAUUACAGGUGUGUGCCUCCUUUUUUGCACAACGUCCUCAAGGCUCAUCGCAUAAUGUUAAUUCCCUCCCACUUUUGAAAUAAAACACAUGUAACAUGAGCGUC